UUUUUCUUCCCAUUAUACCCCUCUUAACCUUCUUUCAUCAAUUCUAACCUAUGAUAAAACUGAAACCGUCUAAAAUGAUAAUCACCUUCUUCAAUGUGCAAUUCAAUUCAUACCUUUAAGUCUUCAACCCCUCCGACUUCACUUAAAUCAGCCUUCAAUUAGGCAAACCAAGCAAAUUGGACUUCAAUUUAUUCAAUGGAGCAUGCCUUCAAUUCGAUUUCGGUAUUAAAGAAGUAAUCUCAUCACCCUGGUCUUUUUAAUCCCAUCCCCUGGUUGUUCAUGCCAUAUUUUGAGACUUGAACUCGAACGAAACACAACAAUAACCGGAAUAUCUGAAGCCACCAGCUAUGGAGUCUGUGCUCUCCUUCUAUUUGCCACCGUGUUUGAUUCUUUCAUCUCAACAUCCCAAUGCAGGUAACUCUAAUUUCAAUCGUUAGGGUUUUGAUUGAUGAUUUGUUGUUUUUUUUCUUGCUUUUUAUAAUAGAUCUGGAUUCUGGAAACUGCUGCUUCAUGCUUACUACAAUUAGUAUUGACAUAGCCUUAACAUAAAUUGCUAUCAAAUAAGUGAAUGAUGUUAAAUUGUGGCGUAUACCAUACUAUUUCUUGGAAUCUAGCUUUUGAUUGGAUGGUUUGAACUUAAUUUGAUUGAUUUCUAAAUGAACAAACGAAGAUAUACCCGGAAAACAUUUUUUGCUGAUGCGAUUUAUAUAUUGGAUGAUAGAUAUUUGCCUGGUUCAGAUCAUUUGACUUUGGGAUUAAAGGAGCAUGAUGAUUUUGGGGAUUUAGGGUUCGACGGACGGUUUCAAGGUAAGUCAGUUCAAGGCUUGACAUUGGUGUUUGAUAUUGUGUAAUAAAUGUGAUUUUGAUUUGAUUAGUUAAAUCCAAAAUAAUCAAAUUAAGUGUGGAUAUUCAAGAUCAUUAUGGUUUGAGUGCACUACUGUUAUUCAAAGACUUGAAACAAGAAGACAUACUGGUAUUUGUAUAUAUGUUGUGGAUGCUAAUGUGCUUAUAAUUAAAAAGAUAUUUUUCAACUUGUAUGUUAACCUAAACAAGUUUUGAUUCAGAACCUAAACAAAUUAAAAAAAAAUAUUUUUCAACUUGUGUGUUCGUGAGUUGGCGGGUUGAACCCGGCACAAACUCAGAAAUUUUGACACGAACCUGAAAAUCGUAUUUGACACGUGAGCCGAAAAUAGUGUGCCUUCGCCGUAUAAUGAUGGUCUUUUGCCUUCGCCUACCGGGAAGGAUAAUGCUGGUCAGCUUGAUAUUGGGGCUUCGACGAAAGCACCUUUGUUAAGGAAGUCUAGCAAGCAAGAAAAGAGAAAGAUGAGAGAUCAUGUGAUUUCGGUUAGAGAAAAUGGGGUCGUGGAGGAACAUAGUAAGUCUGCGGAUAAACAGGGGACUAAGGUGGAUUCUUCGAGACUAGAUCUGACGAAUCAAGGUGGGUCUAUGGCGGGUCUUUCUUUGUCAAAAGAAGUAAGUUCGAUGAGCAGGUCGAGUCCUCAAACAAUAACAAAUAAGCGGUGUCGCCAAUUGGUUGUGAAAUGGGUCAAAUAAAAAACUCGGGGGAAGUCUCCAUCUUACUAUCAUUCUUCUUUCAACAAAAGUUGUGACAAUAUCUUUAUCAAAAAUCAACGGGCGGGCAUAGGUAAUGCAAUAAAAGGAAAUACAAAAAAAGUUCAUCAUUGUGGCUCACUUUUCAACAGUUGCUUCUCUGUUUUCAGGGUAUCUAUUGGCAUUUUGACAAGCGUAUAUAUAUUCCACUACCAGAUAUGAGUGCUUGACAACACGUCUAGGUGGCCAGGAUGACCCAUUUGUCUGGCCUCUUUGGUGCCUUUUAUAUAGAGCUUGUUGAUGGGAAGCUAUCUCAAACUUGUUAUCUUGUGGCACUUAUUUUGACUCAAAUAUACUAAAUUAUAUUACAAAAUGGUAAUAACUUGUACAUUUUCACUGCUUCAUAUAAUCAUUUGAAUUGAUUUUGGAAGAUUCUUAUACGAGUGAGGACGUUAUUGUAAUUAUAUUACACUCGAAUCAUUUCUUCGUC